AGAGUUGAUCAUGCUCAGGAUGAACGCUAGCUACAGGCUUAACACAUGCAAGUCGAGGGGCAGCAUGGUCGUUAGCUUGCUAAGGCCGAUGGCGACCGGCGCACGGGUGAGUAACACGUAUCCAACCUGCCGUCUACUCUUGGACAGCCUUCUGAAAGGAAGAUUAAUACAAGAUGGCAUCAUGAGUCCACAUGUUCACAUGAUUAAAGGUAUUCCGGUAGACGAUGGGGAUGCGUUCCAUUAGAUAGUAGGCUGGGUAACGGCCCACCUAGUCUUCGAUGGAUAGGGGUUCUGAGAGGAAGGUCCCCCACAUUGGAACUGAGACACGGUCCAAACUCCUGCGGGAGGCAGCA
rnacentral:rRNA from 1 species